rnacentral:rRNA from 1 species
CAUGUCUUUUUGAUUAUAAUUUAAGGUCUAAUCUGCUCAAUGAGGAUUUAAAUUGCCGCGGUAUUUUGACCGUGCAAAGGUAGCAUAAUAAUUAGUUUUUUUAUUGAAAGCUGGAAUGAAUGAUUGGACGAGAAAACGGCUGUCUACUUUUUAAUUUAUUUUUAAAUUUAACUUUUGAGUUAAAAGGCUCAAAUUUUUUUAAAAGACGAGAAGACCCUAUAGAGUUUUACAUUUUUGUUUUUAAGAGGUUUUUGGUAUUUAAUUAUUUUUAAUUAUAAUGAUGUUUAGUUGGGGUGACUAGAAGAUUAAUUAAACUCUUCUAAUAUUUAAAUCAAUAAUUUUUGAAUGGUAAAUCUAGUUUUUCUAAAUUUAAUAUAAAUUACCUUAGGGAUAACAGCGUAAUUUCUUUUUAGAGUUCUUAUUGAAAGAGAAGUUUGCGACCUCGAUGUUGGAUUAAAAUUUAUUUCUGGUGCAGCAGCUAGAAUAAUUAAGUCUGUUCGACUUUUAAAAUUUUACAUGAUCUGAGU